AACANCGAUCNCGCUGUAAUGCAUCUAGAUUAAAGUUGAUCUUGAGCUCACACUGAGCCGCUUAUCGUGACAGCUUAACACAUGCAAGUCGAGCGGGGAAGGGUAGCUUGCUACCUGACCUAGCGGCGGACGGGUAGAGUAAUGCUUAGGAAUCUGCCUAUUAGUGGGGGACAACAUCUCGAAAGGGAUGCUAAUACCGCAUACGUCCUACGGGAGAAAGCAGGGGAUCUUCGGACCUUGCGCUAAUAGAUGAGCCUAAGUCGGAUUAGCUAGUUGGUGGGGUAAAGGCCUACCAAGGCGACGAUCUGUAGCGGGUCUGAGAGGAUGAUCCUGCACACUGGGACUGAGACACGGCCCAGACUCCUACGGGAGGCAGCAGUGGGGAAUAUUGGACAAUGGGGGGAACCCUGAUCCAGCCAUGCCGCGUGUGUGAAGAAGGCCUUAUGGUUUGUUAAAAGCACUUUAAGCGAGGAGGAGGCUACUUUAGUUAAUACCUAGAGAUAGUGGACGUUACUCGCAGAAUAAGCACCGGCUAACUCUGUGCCAGCAAGNCCGCGGUAAUACANAGGGUGCAAGCGUUAAAUUCGCGAUUUAACUGGGGCCGUAAAAAGUCGCGCCUUAAAAGGGGGUAAAUUAAAGUCCACAUUGGUGAAUUCCCGGAGAUUAACUUGGGANNUGGNAUUCGAAACUCGGUUAGUCAAAUGUUUGACAAAGGAUGGUAAANUCCNGGUUUAGGNAAUUGGUUAANAUUUGGGAGAUACCNUNGGAAAGGAUUUGUUAAUAUAUCAGAAUUUGUGANCGGUUAACNUAGUNUUUUAUUUUUANUUGGGUUUAUUUGCUUUUAUAANCGGGUAAAUUGGC
rnacentral:rRNA from 1 species